rnacentral:rRNA from 1 species
AUUGAGCGCUGGCGGCAUGCUUUACACAUGCAAGUCGAGCGGCAGCGCGGGGGCAACCCUGGCGGCGAGCGGCGAACGGGUGAGUAAUGCAUCGGAACGUAUCCUCGAGUGGGGGAUAACCCAGCGAAAGUUGGGCUAAUACCGCAUGAGCUCUGAGGAGGAAAGCGGGGGACCUGCGAGGGCCUCGCGCUGGAGGAGCGGCCGAUGUCCGAUUAGCUAGUUGGUGGGGUAAAGGCUUACCAAGGCGACGAUCGGUAGCUGGUCUGAGAGGAUGAUCAGCGACACUGGGACUGAGACACGGCCCAGACUCCUAAGGGAGGCAGCAGUGGGGAAUUUUGGACAAUGGGGGCAACCCUGAUCCAGCCAUGCCGCGUGAGUGAAGAAGGCCUUCGGGUUGUAAAGCUCUUUCGGACGGAACGAAAUGGGCGGGACUAAUACUCCUGUCGGAUGACGGUACCGUAAGAAGAAGCACCGGCUAACUACGUG